GUAAGUCUGCUCCAUACUUGUAAGUAAGAUUUUAUUAAUUUUAUUUACCUGUAUUAUAUUACUGAGAGCACUAUCUGUGGCUGUCUUUUCUGUUUCGAGUACCUAGAUUACCAUCUACGGUGAAAGACUACGACCAUCAUAUCCCAUGAGUGGGGAUUAUAACACUGUAUGCGAUAUCUACUAGAGCUGGUCAUAGCUCUUGUCCAUGUGAG